GCUGAAGUUGGAAGUGACGAGGCGAAUCUGAGUUUAUUUUAGUUUUGUUUUUUUUUGCUGAAACUUCGUUAUAGUUGUGAAGAGCAAAUAGGAUCCUUCUGGCAGAAGAACAGAGGCAGUGAAGGUGUGACAAGAUUAAGACCAAGAUGGAGAAAGACGAAACCAGAGUUUCAGAGCUCUUGAGGACACCACAUGCCCAUGACCCUGCAGAAGAAACUGGAAAAACACCACUUCAACUUGUAAUUGGAUACAAGCUGUCUGAGAUGGAAAUUGAGAGCAAAGUUCUCUGUUUAUUUACGAGCCAGCACUGAUACCUGAAGCAUAAAGCAAGGCACCUUCAGAUCAAUGCCAGCAAACUCUCGACUAUAUUGGAAAAUCCUUCCUGCCACGGGACAAGCACGACCGUGUCCUCGUGUUCUUUCAGCGUAACCCCCACCUUGAUAACACUUGUCAUCUGAGCAGCUUGUAUGACAGGUCUGUGAAGUGGAUUACUACUGUCCACUAGAGGCUGUAAUGAGACCAACAAUGUCAUUUUAUGACAAAUUGAAGUCUUAGACUGUAAUGAUCGAUAAUUGUAAGAUUACUGUUCACAUGCAGUGCAUCGUCAGUCAC
rnacentral:lncRNA from 1 species